rnacentral:lncRNA from 1 species
AUGAGUCCACACACCUGCGCUCGAGCUGACCGGGGGCCAGGUUCACUGGGGGGCAGGGUAGGGGGUACAGCUAAGUGUCAGGUUCCUGGGGACACAAGAUCACUUGUGAGAGUCUGGAAUGUUCUAGAGAAGGUGGGGGGAGGGUGUCAAAUAAAACUCCAGUGUUAUCCUGUUUUUCAGCAAUUUAAGGACAAGAUGCGUGUGGAUGGGGGCUCAGGACAAGAGGGCCCAGAGACACCACAGGAGCAGGGCCGGCCUCUGGCUCUGAGUCAGGAGAACAGACGUGCAAGUGACGAAUGCUGGGAUUUGCCGACAAAUAGCAAGGGACAGGCGGACACCCGAACACCUGCGAAGACGGGCUCCGUGAGAGCAGCUCCUCCCCAUGCGGCCCCUCGGCCCCCUUCACCCCUCGUGGGUCUCCAGGCGGCCAGGCCGGCGGAGGCGGAAGGCAGCUCACGAGUCUCCCGGGCUGGCUGA